AGGGUGGAUGGCCCUGGCCCAGUGACAUGUUGUUAAACGGCCGCGGUAUCCUAACCGUGCGAAGGUAGCGCAAUCAAUUGUCCCAUAAAUCGAGACUUGUAUGAAUGGCUAAACGAGGUCUUAACUGUCUCUUACGGAUAAUCAGUGAAAUUGAUCUUCCUGUGCAAAAGCAGGAAUAAACACAUAAGACGAGAAGACCCUGUGGAACUUAAAAAUCAAUGGCCACCCUCUCACACAAUCAACCCUACUAGGCUCACCACCAAUAAAAUGCUGGCCUACAUUUUUCGGUUGGGGCGACCUUGGAGAAAAACAAACCCUCCAAAAAUAAGACCACCCCUCUUAACCAAGAGCAACCCCUCAACGUACUAAUAGUAACCAGACCCAAUACAAUUGACCAAUGGACCAAGCUACCCCAGGGAUAACAGCGCAAUCUCCUCCAAGAGCCCAUAUCGACGAGGAGGUUUACGACCUCGAUGUUGGAUCAGGACAUCCUGAUGGUGCAGCCGCUAUCAAGGGUUCGUUUGUUCAACGAUUAACAGUCCUACGUGAUCUGAGUUCAGACCAGA
rnacentral:rRNA from 1 species